rnacentral:lncRNA from 1 species
UGAUUCACAGGAAGCGAUUGGGCAGCGAUCUGCCCAAAUCACCGCCCCGAUCACACUGACAGUAAAAAUUGACAGCAGAGCGGGAAAUUGUUCAGAAAACAGAAUUUCGAAUUUUGAGAAGCCCAAAUCCAACUCAAUCAUUGCCAACACAAUUCCAAGAGCCACGAAAGAGUCUCUCACCUAAGGAAUUCCAUUUGCAAUUAAAUUCAAUAUCAAAAGAGGAAUCAAAAACCAAAUCAAGAAGGGAUUUCAAAACCCUAGAUGGAUGGAAUUCUUCAGCUAUAAAAGAGCAGCUUCCAAACCAGCAAAAGGGCAUAUCUCAUCUUCAGCAAUUCUGCAGAAAAUACAGCAGCUUGUCUUCUUUUUUUUUCUUUCUUUUGUGUAUCUUGUCCACCAUGAGUGGCUAAUUUCAUUCUUUUCUAGUUGAAGUUGGAAAAUUCAGAUUUGUGAUGAAUUGGGAGAUUUAAAUCUCCAUUGUUAAACUUCUAUUUAUUUCCAAUAUUUAUGCAAUUUGAUCUUUCUAUAAUUGUUGCUUUGCUUUUAGAAUCAAUAAGGGCCCAUUGCUUUUAAAUUGCUUGAGUAAUAAAUUGUUUGAAUGAUUUAAGUCCGUAAUUGCUUAUAUUAUUUGAACACAAAUAUAAUCAGGUUGCAUGAUCUAGACUUGACCACGCGGUUGGCAAGGAUAGAAUUAGGUU